rnacentral:lncRNA from 1 species
UCAGAGAAAAACACAAUAUUCAGUAGAGGCUUGCAAGAUGUAUGUAAUUCCUCACCAACUGCCUAGGUAUCCCUGGGACGAGACUACUAUGUACAACAAAGUUUGUACAGCUAAAAGACUUAGUUUAAUGACUAUUUUGGCAUCUAUGGGUUAGAUUGACUUCAAGUCAUGGCAGGAAGGAUGGCAGUGUUAUCUACUUUUUUAAGCUUUGAGGCAAAGCAUGCUCUAGGAAGCCUAAUGGCUUCUUCUAAGCCAUGAAUUGACAGGCAAUAAAAUUAAGAAAAUGAGCCUAAUGGUGAAGGGAGCUCCUAUAGGAUUGGCAAGAGAAUAUGCCCUGCAACUUGUUGUACCAAUCUUGACCAUAUUUCCUGUGCCAAUCAAGCUCCACUUGGCAAAACAGAAAACAUUUUCGGCGUCGCGCCGAUCUACCGUGUAAUUUUUCCAUGAUGCUUCCAAGUUCCUCCUAAUCUGUCCCCCUCUACAUCCUAGGCUGCAUAUCUCAUACGGUUAUCAUAACAAAGAUCACAUUCUUGAUUCAAAGCAGCGAGCACUUACUCGCAACUGUCAGUAAACUAAUCUACUCUCGGAAUUCCGACAGAAUAACAUGCCAAGUGUUCAUACUGUCGAUCGAUCGAUUCUCCAAUCCAGUGAGCUCGCUCUGCUUCUUCAUCAGUGAUGCACACAUACAUGUGAGCAUGCAUUAAGCAAAGUGUUUGGCGUGGCACAAGAUAAUUAUAUAGCCAAAAGGGCUUGGAUAGUGGAGGGGGCUUGUGAAACUAUGAUAAACUAGUAAGGAGGAAAAGAAAUCAUGAAAUAAGCUUAGGUUAGGCUCUAUGUAAUACAGGGGCAUUUGCAUCUCUUGACCACUAAAGGAUGGCUUAAGGCUUUUGACACCGUUCCACCUGUCGGCGCACCGUGGGUUCCUUUUCCUAUAUAUUUCAUUCUAUAAGAGCAGGCAUUUUUUGUGCGCCGGAAUAAAGCGGCGUCGCCUUUUCUAGGCGCCUUCCAUGCUGUUUCUCCAAAUAUAUGUAUUUUAUGCUUGGGUUCCUAAUGGCUGUGUGCUUGGGCUGAGUUUUAUCAUGAGUAGACGACGGGGACCCUUUGCAGUGGAUGCUGAUAAGCAUGGAGAGGAGAGGGGAGAGGAACAAGCCAUUGGAUGACGGAACACCGAAUUGCAAGCCCUGCCACCUUGUUAAUUGCCAGGAGCCUGGGUGUUGGAUCCAACACUAUGUGCACGUUCACACAUUGCGCAUGGUCCCCCGGGGACAUACUACAAAACAAACAAACGAAAAACAGUUGAGCAUCUAGAGAUGUUUAUUUUUAAAUUUUUGUACACGCAGGCAGACGCAGAGAAAGCAAUGCGAGGAUGAUCACCUAUCUAGAGAUCUUUCUGCUCAGCCAGGCCCUGCUGAUGGCUCAUUUCCCCACUGCCACCGUACGGGAGAUCGUCGACGGCGACGGCGCAGAGGCUGCCUUUCUGAAUCCGGCCCCUAGCCCGAUAGGCCGUCUUAUCGCCGACGAGAGAACUGUUCCUGCAUGUGCACGAGCAAUGCAUCGAGCAUGAGUGCAGCGCAGCAGAUGUCUAUAUAUAGGGGGAGUAAAAGCCUCCCUCCGUCUAGCACAGGAUCUGAGCUGAACUCAAGCCCUGGGGCUGGGAGGGACGGAUGGAAAUGUGCCCGCAGCAUGUCUGCGUCCGCAUGUGCACCGCCCCCAGCGGAGUCGUCAGUUAGGUGCGAGAGCUGACCUGAUGGUGGAGAAACGACGCCGAUUUCGCUGUGCCUCCCGGAUUGGAUUGGAUUCUGAUCCGAUCGAUAUCGAUCUGCCGGAGACACGGCUCCCCUUUGGCAAUGUGCGCCUGCCGACCCCGUUCUGGCCGCCUGAAUGAAGCGACGGUGCCCGGCGUAAAGCGGGCGCCCGGCGUUGCCGCUUGCGUCUCGUCUCAUCUCCAUUGCUGCAUUCACUCGUGGCCUUUGCAGCAGGGAGGCGAUUUACAUGGCCAGGGAACUUGUACAAAAACAAAAAAAAGCAGAGCAAAAAUAAAGGGGAAAGGUAGGGCUGACAAUGCUAAU